CUGACGCUSAKGCACGAAAGCGUGGGGAKCAAACAGGAUUAGAUACCCUGGUAGUCCACGCCGUAAACGAUGAUUACUMGGUGUUGGGGGA
rnacentral:rRNA from 1 species